UUAAAAGAAUAUUGGCAGAGAAAGAGCCUUGGUGUUCCAGCAGGAGCUAAGAGGAACAGGAAAACAAAUGGCAGUAGCCCUGAAACAGCCACUUCUGGUGGUUGCCAGUCACCUGAGGAUGUGAGUCCUGGCUGGACAGGCUCCUGGGGACAGGGGGCCCAAGGCGCAGUAGAGGGUAAUUGUUAAGAUUGUGGAUGGACUGUUGGGUACUGGUUAAGAAUUCUGGGUUU
rnacentral:sRNA from 1 species